AUGGAAACAUAUAUCAAAAUAUCAUUAUAUGCAGUGUGUACAUCACAUGCUUAUGACUAUUUUGCACAGACACUACAUCCAGUCUAUUUUGCUACUUGCAACUACUCCCUUGUGUUUAUUUGCACACAUCCAGGCAAAGUUGGUUUUCUUACAUGGUUUAGUUGCACAGUAAAGUGUUUAAUUACACAUAUAUCAUAUUCACCUCUAUUUUUGCUUCAUGUUCCUACUCCCUCCAACUAUGGAGAAGAUUGGUGGGAGAUCCAGAGGAAAAGGGAAGGGGGAAGUGAAGAAGGGGGGAUCUGGAGGCCAGAAGGAAAUUAUCUGAUGUUGCUGGCUGGUAUGCUUCUCUCCUCCCUUUUCUUACAACUGCAGUUUCUAGCCAAUUUUCACCUUGAUUACUUUGCCAUGGCAGCUCUGUAG
rnacentral:rRNA from 1 species